GGGUAUCAGUGCAGACAUUAAAGGAAGAAAAGGUCAUAAAUUAUCCUCUAAUCAGAAGGGGGAUUGAGUCGGCUAUUCCCCAUACAUGAUAUGGAUUAAAUAAAAAAAUAAAAAAAUAAAUAAGUUACAACAUAUAUUUUGAAAAAUUUUUGGAAGUUAAAUGAAGAAUGUUGUAAUUUCAACUAGACUUUCAGUUAUCCUUCGGAAUUCAAGGUUUAGAAAUAUUGGGCUGUCAACUCCUACUCCCAUUGCAUUUAGACCAUUGUCCACAUACACAACUGCACCGGUAAUAGCUGAAGCCAAAGGUGAAGCCAGGAAGGCAGCUGCAUUCCCCACGUCCUCUGCAGAUAGUUCCUUCUGCAGCCGUGCAUUAGCCAAUGAGCAAUCAAUCAUCAUAUCAAUAAAGCCAAUUGCUUUUGCAGCUAGACUUCUUAAUGGACCUGACAAUUUCAAAAAGCAUGAAAAUGUGAUAACACAUCCAUAAUUGUAUGUUGCAGAAAACAGGUUAAAGAAAAAUAGUUUAUACAAAUUCUGAGCAGGUUGUGGAUUUUUGCAUUGUCUACCAUUUGAUCAAAUGGAGGGCAAAAGAGAGAGGAUGGGGGGAAUGAAUUUAAUUGCAUGUUCUUGCAACCCAAGAUGGUAAGACCCUUUGGAAAUCUUAUUAAUCAUUCCACUUGCAUCUUAAUUGAAUAACAAAUUAUUGUAAAGAUCAUGUCCAUCAAACCACAACUAAUAAAUUUUAAAUUAUCAAUUUCUAGAAAAUAAAAUUCAAACCACUUGAUUAGGUGGUUCUCUGCUCUGUAAUUUGGAGGGACCCAUCUGUACUUUCGGAUACCACUGGCCAUCAACACUUCCAGAAAUUCAAGAGAGCAAAGUUAAGAUCCAGUUCCCAAUAAGACAAAAAGGGCAGAUUCUUGAAUGGACACAACUCAUCCUCAGCAGCUCAGCUAUAGGCUCCGGAGAACCAACUAUGGCAGCCAUUUUUUAUAUGCAGGUGGUUGCUUCCGUCAAUGUGGAUAAUACCAGGAUGUUUUAGUUAUAUUUACAAACUAUUUUGGUAAGUCAGUGAAAUUAUUUCCCCAUUUGGAGUGGAUAAGCUAUAACUGGUAGUGUGAUGAAUCAAAGCGAAGCUAGCAAAUUGUAACGGAGUCCAGCUGAAGCAUGUGCAUCCAUAGAAAGAGGUGAGAGGAUCACAAAGAGUCUAUGCAUUUCUACUAGAAAUCUUCUACAUAAUUAACAAGUGAUGGUGAUAAUGAUAUUUGAAUCACAUACAUGCAGUAGAUGACUAGAGUCUAUGGCUACAUCAAAAACCCUCAAAUCUCAAGUUUCAAAUCAGGAGUUCUCAAUAAUUCACAAGCACAGGCCAGCGUGACAAAAAAUAGCUCCAAAUUUUGGGUAAUUAGACCCCUUUUGAAUCUUAAGUAACCAAUUUACCUGCCGAUAUAGUGUUGACUCUGAUUUUGUACUUUCUUCCAGCCUCAAAAGCUAGAAACUGUGUGUCGCUCUCUAAAGCAGCCUUUGCUGAACUCACGCCUCCACCAAAUCCUGGAAUGAUCCUUUCAGAAGCAAUGUAGGUUAGAGAAAUUGAAGAACCACCUGGA
rnacentral:misc_RNA from 1 species